GAACUGAAUGUAUCUAGCUGUUCUCUGCAUUUUUUGGGAAAUUAUAGAAACUGUUAAGAGAGGGUGUUGAAAAAGUGGAAAGCUUUUCACAGAUGUUUUACUUUGGAUUCUUUUUGUCUUUCUUAUCAUGGUCUCUGAAGUUGUCAGUCAGUAGUAAACUGGUGAAGACUGUAAGGAAUUGAGAUGAGAGACUGUUGCCAUCUACAUCACCAGCCAGCCAUCACCUUUCCCCC